UGAAACAGCCAGGCUUCCAUCAGCUUCAUAUUUUAGCUGAAAAAAAGGACACGAUGAUGAACUGACAGGGUCAUUUGCCUUUUCAGAUGAGAUUAUGAGCUGUAAUGGAGGGGGAGGUGGAGACUGCUGAGACAAGGAGAAAUGGCCUGCUGUGAGGAUGGCAGAUUUGAUGGCUAGUCGAUACAGAGAUAUUCAUGGUUCAUCCUGCUGGAUGUAGCAUCAGAAGAUGGGUACACUGUGGUGAUAAAGGGAUGGAUGUGCCAAGAAAAUGUCCCCCACACCGUUACGCCACCAACACCAGCCUGAACCAUUGAUACAAGGCGGGAUGGAUCCAUGCUUUCAUGUUGUUGAUGCCAAAUUCAACCAUCCGCUUGUCACAGCAGAAAUCGAGACUCAUCAGACCAGACAAAGUUUUUCCAAUCUUCUAUUGUCCAAUUUUGGUGAGCCUGUGGAAAUUGUAUCCUCUGUUUCCUUUUAUGUUCCUUUCCUGCUGUAGCCCAUCUGCCUCAAGGUUCAACGUGUUCUGCAUAACUCUGU